rnacentral:tRNA from 1 species
GAGGACGUGUCGGAAUUGGCAGACGAGCAUGACUUAGGAUCAUGUGCCUUAAUAGGCGUGUGGGUUCGACUCCCACCGUCCCCA